GCCACCAUAGCCUAGCCCGGUAGCGCGGCUGACUUGUAAUCAGCAGGUCGCGAGUUCAAAUCUCGCUGGUGGCUCCA
rnacentral:tRNA from 1 species